UACGUAGGGUGCGAGCGUUAAUCGGAAUUACUGGGCGUAAAGCGUGCGUAGGUGGUUUGUUAAGUCUGCUGUGAAAGCCCCGGGCUCAACCUGGGAAUGGCAGUGGAUACUGGCAGGCUGGAGUAUGGUAGAGGAAGGUGGAAUUCCCGGUGUAGCAGUGAAAUGCGUAGAGAUCGGGAGGAACACCAGUGGCGAAGGCGGCCUUCUGGACCAAUACUGACGCUCAUGCACGAAAGCGUGGGGAGCAAACAGG
rnacentral:rRNA from 1 species